CUCAUAUUAAAAGAUAUAAAAUUUUAAUCAAUAACGAGAGUGACGGGCGAUGUGUACACACUUCAGAGCCAAUAUCAGUUAAAUUAAAUAAUUUAAAUUACUAUCAAAUCCACCUUCAUUAAAAUAUUCCAAAAUUAAAUCCAUAAUAAAAAAAAAUUAUUGUAACCCAUCAUACACUUAAUUAUAAGCUGCACCUUGACCUGAAAUAAAUUUUAAUAAAAAAACAAGAAAAUUUUUUCUCCAAAAAGAUUUUCUGAUUAACGGAGAUAUACAAACAAAUAAAUUAAGUAAAGUAAAUCGUGUACUAUCAAUCAUGAGAUAGGUUCCUCUGAAUGGAAUGAAAUACCGCCAAAUUCUUUGGGUUUAAAGACCUUAACUAAUAAUACCCAGGUAAAACAAAAUUUACAUUUAAAAUAAUA
rnacentral:rRNA from 1 species